ensembl:lncRNA
UCUACACAUACAGCACUUUGUCAACAAGUUAACAACCUAUAAUUGUGAAGAAAAAGAUGCACCUGGAGAAUUUCGAGAGGACAUUAACCGUGUUUUCAUUGCACUGCUGCACUGGCCUGCAGUCCCACAGUUACAACACUGAAAACUCAAUCUAUUUCCUUGUUACUCAUGAUCCUCCUGGUGAUAUUAAAGGCACAGCACGGUGGUUGACCAAGGAACAGUCACUCUUGCAAUCAGUCUCAGUUCAAAGUAGAGAGAGAGGAACCACAAUCACGCACAAAAGCUUGAGACAUAAGAACUUGUAACCAUGACAGCUGCAUCCUACAAACACUACAGAAGACAGUAACAGCAAUUCCUCCCUGCAAAGCCUGUGUUUACUCAGUUUCCUUUGUAUGCAUUGGCAGUCCCCAUUUAAGUACAGUAUCAGUACCACGACAAAACAGUUUUUAAGGUGUCUUGUCAUCAGAGGAAUGUUGUUGACCCUUCCCUCUUUUCAUGGGGUAAUACAGCAAGUAUUUUCUUUGAUGUGGAUCCUUGAGGCACUGAACAUGUGAACUUUCCAGGACUGCGUUAUUUUAUCUCAAAUAAGGGUCAGGAUUUGCAGGUAGAAAGGGUAUGAUCAACUAGUAAGAAUGGAGGAUUGAAAAAGAUUGACAUGGAAGACGGUUGUCCUGGUUUAGUUGGCAGUUAUACAGACCUGAUGUAGUGGAAAUGUCAUGACCUGAAACGGUGAUUGAGCACCUGGUGGGAAGGCAGGGCCAAUCCAGGGGAGCUCAGGUGCAUGCAAUGCUCCUGAGUGACGAGAAGGGGUGGAGCCAGGAUCCAUUCCCCUCCCAGACCUCAUUUAAGGGUUGGCAGCGGAGGUAAAGGUAUCUUCUGUGGGAGGUUCCUGUCUACUGAAGGUCUUCUACAGGGUUCAGAGAACUGAAAGGAAGGCAACAUCCUUGGAGGGAUUUUCUCAAAGGGUCUAUUUUUUUUUCCUCCAAGCAGAAAACUAAAAUUACAGGCUUCAAAGGGUCCUGCAACUGUACCAAACAUGAUCCAGAUGCAAGAGUGAAGAAAACAUCUACAAUAUGAUCUAGCUACGGUUCAACCAGCCACAACCGCCCCAUCAGCCUUCUCAGUGCCUCCCUUUGUCCUCUAUCACAGAUGAAUAAAGCGCCUGUGGGAAAUGAUUUGCUGAUAAAAGUAAUUGUAAUUCUUCUUUCCAAAAUAUGUUUGGCAACACAGAAAGCUAUUCUGAUCACUGUACUCAGGCUGCUCCCAGCAUUAAAAAAAAUAGCUAAAAACAGAAGCCUUAAAGCAG